GAUAUUUAGACUUGUGUAGGGUGGGCGACCUGGGGAAAAACAGUGGAUCAAGAUAUGAUUAUCCAAAGGUUGCCCACUACACCACACUGUAAUUCUAUGGAAUGUAAUCCUGUCCAUAUGACCAUCUCUAAUCCACAACAUUUUAUUGAUAAGUUUGGAAAUCUAUUUGGGUUCCAAAUAUAUGGCACAGGAGUAGACCCAGGGACCAUAAUAUAUGUAGGACUUGAAACUGAGACGAUAGCAACUCAAACUCAUCAGGUUUUUCAUUCCUUUUAUGAGGAGAUGAGUGUUGAGGAUAAAAUUCCCCAUAAUGUUAAGAACCUAUUUAUUGAUUUGGCUGAGAGUAUUGCGGGUAGUCUUAAUGUAACUAAUUGCUUUGUAUGUGGAGGUACUAAUAUGGGAGACCAGUGGCCAUGGGAGGCAAAGGAAGUAUGGUACCCUGGUUCUGAGACAGAUGAACAACAAAUACUUUCUCAGUCUGAUCAUCAAGUAAGUACUAGAGGUAAAUCAGAGUGGCGGUUAAAAACCUCCAUUAUAGGUCAUGUAUGUUUAGCCAGGAAAGGGCCAUUGUAUACCACACCUGUUGGCGAGUUAAUAUGUCUAGG